rnacentral:piRNA from 1 species
UUAAGAGAUUGAAAAAUAUAA